GUCGAGCGCCCCGCAAGGGGAGCGGCAGACGGGUGAGUAACGCGUGGGAACGUACCCUUUACUACGGAAUAACGCAGGGAAACUUGUGCUAAUACCGUAUGUGCCCUUCGGGGGAAAGAUUUAUCGGUAAGGGAUCGGCCCGCGUUGGAUUAGCUAGUUGGUGGGGUAAAGGCCUACCAAGGCGACGAUCCAUAGCUGGUCUGAGAGGAUGAUCAGCCACAUUGGGACUGAGACACGGCCCAAACUCCUACGGGAGGCAGCAGUGGGGAAUAUUGGACAAUGGGCGCAAGCCUGAUCCAGCCAUGCCGCGUGAGUGAUGAAGGCCCUAGGGUUGUAAAGCUCUUUCACCGGAGAAGAUAAUGACGGUAUCCGGAGAAGAAGCCCCGGCUAACUUCGUGCCAG
rnacentral:rRNA from 1 species